rnacentral:lncRNA from 1 species
UUUACCUCUCACGAUUCCCUACCCACUCUCCACCUUCACAAAAACUCUUCACUCACCAACUGCUGACUCAUUCACUCACGAAAAGAAAAAAGAAAAAAAAGAAAAGAGAAAGCGAAAAGGGUGAGAAACCUUUCUUCUCCGCUUUACCCUUUCCGUUCACCCUUCACCGUGCCUCACCCACCAAUAAACUUCGGCGACCACCACCAUUUCUUCCCUUCCAAACACAUCACAACUUCAAC